GCCAGCGACGGCUCCUUGGAGAGAUCUCCUGCCACCAAGUCAUCCGACUCCUCUUCGCUAGAGGACGGGUCCAACAUCGCGCCCCCGACCCAGACCCUGAGGGAAAACUGUGACAGCUGUAGCAAAAGACCCAGAUCCUUGGUCCACACUUUCGACUAAUGAGUGAACCAGAUGCCACACUAUCAGGAUUUCUGAAUGGCUGGAUACUGUAUUGUUGGACGUUACUCACCUGACCCUGCCUAAACCCCAAAUAAAAAGAGGAAAUGCUGGAAGUAUUCGGAUUUGGGUGCAUCUGUGGAAGUGGAAACAGAGUCAAUAUUUCAAGUCAAAGAAUCUGUCAGAUCCGACAAAAGGUCUUUGAACCAAAGCAUUAACUGUUUCUCUUCUCACCUGUUUAG